UAAUGCCUGGGGUGUGCGACCCCUCUCUUAAUUUUGAACCUACAUUUACGUUUAUGGGAUUCCUAUUAUUGUUGAUUGGAUGUCAGGCCGUCAUUUUGCAGCGGAAGGCAGAAGAGAUACUGCGGUUGCCCACCUAGCUUUGGCUAGGCGUCAAAAUAAGGGAAACGGCACUCCGGGUUUUAC
rnacentral:other from 1 species